UACGUAGGGUGCAAGCGUUAAUCGGAAUUACUGGGCGUAAAGCGUGCGCAGGCGGUUUUGUAAGUCUGUCGUGAAAUCCCCGGGCUCAACCUGGGAAUUGCGAUGGAGACUGCAAGGCUAGAAUCUGGCAGAGGGGGGUAGAAUUCCGAACGUGUGAGCAGUGAAAUGACGUAGAGAUGUGGAGGAACGACCGGAUGGCGCAAGGCAGCCCCCUGGGA
rnacentral:rRNA from 1 species